AGAGUUUGAUCCUGGCUCAGAUUGAACGCUGGCGGCAGGCCUAACACAUGCAAGUCGAACGGUAACAGGAAGCAGCUUGCUGCUUCGCUGACGAGUGGCGGACGGGUGAGUAAUGACUGGGAAACUGCCUGAUGGAGGGGGAUAACUACUGGAAACGGUAGCUAAUACCGCAUAACGUCGCAAGACCAAAGAGGGGGACCUUAGGGCCUCUUGCCAUCGGAUGUGCCCAGAUGGGAUUAGCUAGUAGGUGGGGUAACGGCUCACCUAGGCGACGAUCCCUAGCUGGUCUGAGAGGAUGACCAGCCACACUGGAACUGAGACACGGUCCAGACUCCUACGGGAGGCAGCAGUGGGGAAUAUUGCACAAUGGGCGCAAGCCUGAUGCAGCCAUGCCGCGUGUAUGAAGAAGGCCUUCGGGUUGUAAAGUACUUUCAGCGGGGAGGAAGGGAGUAAAGUUAA
rnacentral:rRNA from 1 species